AGCAGCCGCGGUAAUUCCAGCUCCAAUAGCGUAUAUUAAAGUUGUUGCAGUUAAAAAGCUCGUAGUUGAAUUUCGGGAUCAAGGAAUCGGUCAUGCCUUGGUAUGUACUGGUUUUAUUGGUUCUCACCUUCUAAAGAAUCAUAAUGUCAUUUAUUUGAUGUUAUGGGGAAUUAGGACUGUUACCUUGAAAAAAUUAGAGUGUUUAAAGCAAGCUUACGCUUGAAUACAUUAGCAUGGAAUAAUGAAAUAGGACAUCAGAUUCUAUUUUGUUGGUUUCUAGGAUCGAUGUAAUGAUUAAUAGGGAUAGUUGGGGGCAUUAGUAUUCAAUUGUCAGAGGUGAAAUUCUUGGAUUUAUUGAAGACUAACUACUGCGAAAGCAUUUGCCAAGGAUGUUUUCAUUAAUCAAGAACGAAAGUUAGGGGAUCGAAGACGAUCAGAUACCGUCGUAGUCUUAACCAUAAACUAUGCCGACUAGGGAUCGGAUGAUGUUAAUUUUUAAUGA
rnacentral:rRNA from 1 species